GGGGGUGUAGCUCAGUGGUAGAGCAAUUGCUUUGCAUGUAUGAGGCCCUGGGUUUAAUGCCCAGCACCACAA
rnacentral:tRNA from 1 species